rnacentral:rRNA from 1 species
GACGAACGCUGGCGGCGUGCUUAACACAUGCAAGUCGAACGGAAAGGCCCUGCUUUUGUGGGGUGCUCGAGUGGCGAACGGGUGAGUAACACGUGAGUAACCUGCCCUUGACUUUGGGAUAACUUCAGGAAACUGGGGCUAAUACCGGAUAGGAGCUACUGCUGCAUGGUGGGGGUUGGAAAGUUUCGGCGGUUGGGGAUGGACUCGCGGCUUAUCAGCUUGUUGGUGGGGUAGUGGCUUACCAAGGCUUUGACGGGUAGCCGGCCUGAGAGGGUGACCGGCCACAUUGGUACUGCGAUACGGCCCAGACUCCUACGGGAGGCAGCAGUGGGGAAUAUUGCACAAUGGGCGGAAGCCUGAUGCAGCAACGCCGCGUGCGGGAUGACGGCCUUCGGGUUGUAAACCGCUUUCGCCUGUGACGAAGCGUGAGUGACGGUAAUGGGUAAAGAAGCACCGGCUAACUACGUG